GAAGAAUCAACCAGAAGUUUCCUCCAAUUCGUUCGUAUGAAAAGUGUAAGCAGGAGAAAAAGAAAUUACAGAGAAAACGAAAAUUUUACAAGAGACAAUAAAGCAAAGCCAAGACAAAAUCGGUCGCUCUUUUUCCUCUCUUUCUUUUGUAUGUCAAUCCUGUAUGACUAAUUAUACAAAGGGUGGAUGGAAACGAACGACAAACGAGAACGAAGUCAGAUUUCUCUAGAGUGGAUUCUCAUUCAAACAGUGCUUGGUGAACAAUGUUGGCGAAGGUUGCACAAAGGCGUGAGGAAGAUGUGUUUGAAAAACUUCUACGAUGGUGGGAUUUGGAAGUUAAUCCAAACGAUUUCUUCCACAAGGUUCCGGUUCGUCUAUUUCAAAAAUUCUAAUGCAAUUAAGAGGAGGAAUAUGUUAAUGAUAGUCCAAUAUUCCUAGAAGCUCAAUUGCCUUUUUAUGUAGUACUAGUUGGUUCUUGUCAAGUUGGAUACGUGUCCCCGCCUUUUUGUAACAAGUGAGACCCCUUUCUGAAAGCUCGUUAUUUAAUGUUCGUGGGGGACGUCAAAAAAAGUGACUUUUUUAACUGUGGGGUGAAUAGCUUUCAUUGGUCCAUGUGCCCUUCAAUUUGAUAAAUGAAUGCGGAGCAACGGCAACCAUUGCAUGCGGCUAGAGGCUUUUUCCUAGUCAUAGGUCACAAGAGAUGACAGAUGCGUUGCGUUUAUCAAUCAAUUCUACCUCUCCUCCACUUCUACACGGGGUCGUUAACAUUCGCUACGAUUCGCUAUCGAAAAAUUAGGCGAUUGCGGGACCUAGUCACAUAUAGGCAAUUUGCAUGGGGUCAUCCAAAAGUACCGGAUGAGGGAUGGAUCAAACGAUCAACGAUUUCUGACGCAGGCAAUUGGGAUGUAGAGGAGAUAUUCUCUGUAAAAGGCAAUAAAGGAUGAUUAAGUUAAUUAAACACCUAUCUCCUCAUCCCGAAAAAGAAAACAAAUGGCGUCGGGUUCUUUUUCUGCCUGCCCGUCCUCCUUUGUUUGUACAUCCACCAAUCCUUGCUCCACUCUUCUCCAUCCUCACAAUACCAAUGGAUCCAUGACAUGACGUCCUUUUCGUUUUUACCACGUUGUAUGGUGCACUCUAAUACUGCACGCCCGAACAUUGCUGGUCUUAAAAAAGGAUAACAAACGAAUAACGUUGCCCCUCCAAUCAGCUAUGCCGGAUUUUAUAACGUCGUGCACGCAUGCUAUUCGUUAUAUUUCCUUUUCCAACUAUUGACAAGCCCUUACAACCAUAGCAACCAUCCAUUCAUAAGCCAUUGAACAGCCAUAUAGUGACAUUCAUCCACGUACCGUAUAAAUGCAUCAACAAAAUAUACAGUAUUGCCCAGAAACUCGAUGCUACUAAUAACGAAUCGUUAUAUGGAAGCAGAGAGAACUCGCUGUUCGAGUGUGUGUUUUACUGAAGGAUAAGAAUUGAACAAAGUCCACGUCGUCUUCUCAAUCACUAUACCCACAGUAUUUACUAGCCGAUUUAUUCGCUUCCCUCUUUAAUUCUGCUGGAAAAGCCCAUUUUCGGCUAUGACUACUUUCGGAUAAGGUUGCUGAUGGUUAUUGCAUUUUAACAUCUGGCGUUCACACCAUUCAAGCAUAUGACGACGAUAAUCGAAGCACAAAUGCCGCCCAUUGUGUCAAUCAGAUCAACGACAAAAGCGCGGGACCGCUCGUAACGAUCGUUAGUGCUUAAGACGGAGACAAUUUCUAUAUAACGAAAGAUUUUUAAACGUUAAAACCGUUGUCUCUUAUACAGCCAUCAAUUAUAGUGAAUAAAUGUGCUAGCAAACAUUAUAUAUAUAUAUAUAUAUUUAUAUAUUCCAUUACCGUGUUUACAUGUCUUUCCCACAUUUAAUAUAAUUUAUUUACUCACAAAAAUGCAUAUUUUUAAAUUCAUCACC